rnacentral:lncRNA from 1 species
UUAGUUUUCUCGUUUGAAUUGGUUUACAUUGUCUAAUUGGGGCCUUUUAUAGCUGACUACGUGUUAUGGGCUUUGCUCAUUGUUGAAGGCCGUACGGUGACCUAUAGUUGUUAAUGUCUGUGUCAUUUUGGUCUCUUGUGGACAGUUGUCUCAUCAUUGGCAAUCAUACCACAUCUUCUUUUUUAUUUGACAGUUUGUUAAUUGAGCAUAUAUAUCUGUUGCUUUAAUCGCUAUGAACAUGCAUGCAUGAAGCUAUCUUAAAUUACUGUUAUUGUUUAUUGCAGUUUCAGAUGGCAGUAUGCAAGUUACCUUGACACUAAAAACAUGAAACAGUUUCGUGUAUGAAAAUCAACCAUCAUGCAUGCCUGAGAAAAGUCAGGAAUAUUAUUUACUGUUGUUUUUAAACCGUUCCUUUGUUUGAACGAGUCGAGCGUUUGAUUGUGUCGAGUUGAAUUUACCUUCGGGUUAGGUAUUUUUAAAAAUAAACUCUGCUUUUUUUCAUGUAAUAUUUAAAAAAAAAACAUUUCAUACGUGCAAACACGUACUCUUCUAUUUGUAUUCAUAAUUAAU